rnacentral:rRNA from 1 species
CCUACGGGAGGCUGCAGUGAGGAAUAUUGGUCAAUGGACGAGAGUCUGAACCAGCCAAGUAGCGUGAAGGAUGACUGCCCUAUGGGUUGUAAACUUCUUUUAUAAAGGAAUAAAACGAGGCACGUGUGCCGUUUUGCAUGUACUUUAUGAAUAAGGAUCGGCUAACUCCGUGCCAGCAGCCGCUGUAAUACGGAGGAUCCGAGCGUUAUCCGGAUUUAUUGGGUUUAAAGGGAGCGUAGAUGGGUUGUUAAGUCAGUUGUGAAAGUUUGCGGCUCAACCGUAAAAUUGCAAUUGAUACUGGCAGUCUUGAGUACAGUUGAGGUAGGCGGAAUUCGUGGUGUAGCGGUGAAAUGCUUAGAUAUCACGAAGAACCCCGAUUGCGAAGGCAGCUUACUAAACUGUGACUGACAUUGAUGCUCGAAAGUGUGGGUAUCAAACAGGAUUAGAUACCCCUGUAGUC